GGGGUUGUGGCUCAGUGGUAGAGCGCUCGCCUAAUGUGUGAGGCCCUGGGUUUGAUCCUCAGCACCACA
rnacentral:tRNA from 1 species